rnacentral:rRNA from 1 species
GUGUCAGCCGCCGCGGUAAUACGGAGGGUGCAAGCGUUAUCCGGAUUCAUUGGGUUUAAAGGGUGCGUAGGCGGAGCGGUAAGUCAGUGGUGAAAUCCUGCAGCUUAACUGUAGAAUUGCCAUUGAUACUGCCGUCCUUGAGUGCGCUCGACGUGGGCGGAAUGUGCCGUGUAGCGGUGAAAUGCUUAGAUAUGGCACAGAACACCGAUAGUGAAGACAGCUCUCGAGGGCGUUACUGACGCUGAGGCACGUAAGCGUGGGGAUCGAACAGGAUUAGAUACCCUGGUAGUCCACGCUGUAAACGAUGAUCACUCGAGAUCGGCGAUACACGGUCGGUCUCCUAGCGAAAGCGUUAAGUGAUCCACCUGGGGAGUACGACCGCAAGGUUGAA